AUGAGGAAUUCGAUGGCGGAGCAACUGCCAGUAUCGCGGUCGAUUUCGGUUUUACGAGGCGUGCGGCGGACGACGGUGGGAUACGGCAUCAGAGGUCUCGGUCCGGUGGAGGAUGUCGCGGGUGGAUCCGCAACACGAGCCUGGGCAUUUGCCCAAGCUGACCGAAUUGUUCAGAAGAAGAAGCUCUUAAGAAUUCGUUGGUUGCAAGAAGCUCCUCUGGAUUCUAAUUCUGGCACUUGGAAUUCAUAA